AUUGAACGCUGGCGGCAGGCCUAACACAUGCAAGUCGAACGGUAGCACAGAGAGCUUGCUCUCGGGUGACGAGUGGCGGACGGGUGAGUAAUGUCUGGGAAACUGCCCGAUGGAGGGGGAUAACUACUGGAAACGGUAGCUAAUACCGCAUAAUAUCGCAAGACCAAAGAGGGGGACCUUCGGGCCUCUUGCCAUCGGAUGUGCCCAGAUGGGAUUAGCUUGUUGGUGAGGUAAUGGCUCACCAAGGCGACGAUCCCUAGCUGGUCUGAGAGGAUGACCAGCCACACUGGAACUGAGACACGGUCCAGACUCCUACGGGAGGCAGCAGUGGGGAAUAUUGCACAAUGGGCGCAAGCCUGAUGCAGCCAUGCCGCGUGUGUGAAGAAGGCCUUCGGGUUGUAAAGCACUUUCAGCGGGGAGGAAGGCAAUGCGGUUAAUAACCGUGUUGAUUGACGUUACCCGCAGAAGAAGCACCGGCUAACUCCGUG
rnacentral:rRNA from 1 species